CAAUCUCUAGCGUUGCAGCUCACCGACAAAGUGAACAAUUUUGUCGAUUCCAAUGAACGUAUUUUCGAAAUGAAACAAGGGAACUUUUUUUCAAGAGGAAAUCAAGGAAAUUUCCGCGACAGG